rnacentral:lncRNA from 1 species
UGUUUCAACCUAAGCCCACAACACCGGAUCUUUUGCUGAUUUUCUCCGAUCUUGUUAAGACAGCCUUUUCUGAUACAUCUCUUGUGUAUUUCUUGACUACCCUCUUGCAGAAAUGCCUUCACAACCUUCAUCUUCCCAUCUUCACUAAGGUUGUUGACUUCCUCCAUUGCAUAACUCAUUCCAUCUCAAAGAGGUGAAAGAAAUGAGAUCCACUCAAAGACGAGGCACAAAUAGAGAAGGGAAAGAGUGAUGGAUUGCAGGAAAAGAGGGGUUGUGGCUUCUGAUACAAAUAAACAGUGAGAAAAAGGUCUUGGAGAUUGGGAAAGUUAGAUGUGAAACCUGUGAACCCUGCAGCACUGCCUACCGCAUUUAUUUAAUAAUGGAACGCGUUGAAGAUAUUUCCAGGUUGAGCCGGCCCAGUCCAAUCCUAAUUCAUAAAAUAUUGCUUAGUGUAAAUUAAAAAAUCUCGUUGAAUUCCAAUGCUUUACGGAACGUUGAUAUAGAUCAUUAAUCGGUUUAAUGAUUUAUUCGGUCUAACGUUGAUAUCUAUAUUAUUAAAAUUUAAAAUAAUUAUAAAAAUUAAAUUAUAUAUAAAUAUAUAUAUAAUUUUAUCAUUAAUUUAUUUAUAUUUGAUUAAUAUACUUAACAUUUAAUAUGGUUAUUAUGAACAAUUGAAAUAAUAAAAUAAUAAUUUGGCUUAAUGCCAGCUUUGGAGCCCAGUGCUUUGCUUGGAGGUCCUUUUUAAAGGACAAAAAAUGGGUAAGUGCGGGGCCCAUUAGGAAAGAAAAAGGUAACAACAGAAAGAUAAGUUACAUGAAAGGUUUAGUGGAGUAUGGGCCAACCUGUUAUGCUAAAGACUUUCAGGUCCAAGAGAAUAUGUUUUAGGAGCCCAUAAAGCGGAUUAUGGGUGGGAAGGUUGGUGACAGAUGUAAAAUUCCAUUCAAAAGCUAACACAAAUAUUUAAGAUUGAUGUAAUGAAUAUGAUUUUUUUUUUAUUAAUACUAAAAAUAAGCAAAAGAUAUGAAAAUUAUAUAAAAUAAAUUUAUAUUGUAUGACAAUAUUCUAAAUUUAUAUAAAAUAUGCCUGUGUUAUCACAGUUAGUGUAUGGAUAACAUUCAUGUCAUCAAAACCCAAACAUUUUAUUGCAUAGAUUAAGCCAAACACAACAUAAAUAAUAAUAGGUUUAAAAAAUUUAAAAUUUAGAUUUAGAUACCGCCUAAUUAUUAAAUAGGUAACUCGCAUUAUAACUCAUUUAACCCAUAUAAAAAAUCAAGAUUUCUUAGUUAAUAAUCAAAAUUGGUUAAGUCUUAUAUAAAUUUUUAUGAUUAAUAUCAAUUAAAUAUAUUUAUGAUUCAAUUAAUCUAUUUAUUUAAAAAUAAUUUAAAAUAAAUAAAUAAAAGUUAAUUAAUUUAAGUCAAAUUUGUGCUAUACAAAUGAACUCAAAAACUAACUAUUUAUUAAAUGAUUUACACAUAUCAAUAUGAAUUUGAUCUAAACUCGAUUAUAUUUGGUCUAAACCCAUGAAAAACGUGUUGGAGUCUAAUCGUAUCAAACUUUGUCUUCCUUACAACAAAAUAUAUAAGGCCAAAAUACUUAACAAAGCUUUAUCUAAGAAUCUUAAGUAAUAAACAAAUUGCAAAACAUAUAUUAAAAAAUUUGAAUGGAGGGUUGUGAACAGAUGGGUGAAUGCAGUGUUUGAUAUCAAUCCGCAAGACCAAAGAAUCCAGUGGUUGUGAAGUUAAAAACCGAUACCUGCAGCAUUGGAGUGCAGAAAAGGUCGAAUACUAUAGUAUUUGAUUCGUGGAAUGGCAUUUUCAAGAUUUCUGGAGCACAAUACUAUCAACACUUCAGACCUUUAUGAAUUUUAAAAUGUGAACAUCCACAUAUAUAUACACACCAAUAUUGCAUAAAUAAACCUUUAUGAAAUUUAAAAUGUGAACAUCCACACAUAUAUAUAUACACACCAAUAUUGUAUAAAUAAACACUUGGAACUAUUAUCUAACUGUUACAUACACAAAAAUUAGAAGAAUACACCUUCUUCCCCAAAAUUUCCUUUUACAACUGAAGUCUGGAGAUUGGGGCAAGACUGUGCUUUUAAGUUUGUCCUUCCUCCCAUCUUAGAUAAUACUCAAUAUGCCUUCUUCCAUUUUGUAACUUCACGAGCUCACAAUCCUAUCCUUUCUUCCUCAUUCCGUUUUAUAGUAGGAAAUGACAAUAUUUUGCAUUCUUAACAAACAUUUUGAUAGAAUUUUAGCAAAAACAUCUUUUUAUGUCAAACAAUCUAUUCUAAUCUUCUCAUGAGUUUUCAUUUAUCCGUUCCAUAUAUCUUUAUAAAUGACAAUCCUUUGCAUUCUUCAACAAAAUCAAAUUUGAAAAUUUCGUUACCUAAUGCUAAAAAGUAGCAAAAACAUCAUCUUCUACUUUAAUCUUAUUCAAAUAUUCUUAUGAGCUUCCAUUUGAUUAUUUAAUAUAUUUUUAUAAAUGACAAUCUUUUGCAUUCCUCAACAAAGAUCUUGAAAAUUUUUGAAAAUUUCGUUACCUUAUGUUGAAAAAUAGCAAAAAUAUCUUCUGAUGUCAAACACUCCACUCUAAUCUUCUUCAAAUUUUGUUGUGAGCUUCCAUUUGACUGCUUUAGAGGACAUCCCUAUAAAUGUUUUGAAUGUUUCCAACUCCUCCCAUCCCAUCAAACGAAUAAUUCCCGGGAUCCUUUUCAACCUAAGCCCACAACUCCUGAUCUUUUGCUGAUUUUCUCCGAUCUUGUUAAGACAGCCUUUUGUGAGACAUCUCUUGUGUAUUUCUUGACUACCCUUUUGCAGAAAUGCCUUCACAACCUUCAUCUUCCCAUCUUCACUAAGGUUGUUGACUUCCUCCAUUGCAUGCCUCAUUCCAUCUCAAAGAGGUGAAAGAAAUGAGAUCCACUCAAAGAGAAGGGAAAGAGUGAAGGAUUGCGGGAGAAGAGGGGUUGUGGCUUGGGAUACAAAUAAACAGUGAGCAGCAACUGGCGAAAGGUCUUGGAGACUGGGAAAGAUGGAUGUGAAACCCGUG